UUUACAUGCAAGUGUGCACAUCUGCAUUCAGUUCAAAGGAACCAAAAGAAAUAUAGCCGCAUACUCAUGUAGAUGCUUCAUUGUGAGACUGUUUGAAGGUCAAAAAUUCUAUAUGUCAUGGACAGGGCUGUGUCUAAGUUUCAAAAUUUAUCUCAAACAGUAAGUUAUGAGCCAGAGUUUAAAUCUCAAAAAGUAGGUGCCUUAUCAGCACAUAAAUUGGUAUGAGGAUGCAUCUAGGAGAGUGUAUUUAUAGCAUCUAACAGUAAUUAGGUCACUCUGACUUAAGAUUUAAUAAACCACUUUGAAGAUGAAUUUGGACUUUGUAAUCCUAGAUUUAAAUUAUGUUUUUAAUUUGCAUAUAUUGUUAUAACAAAUUGCUACUUCCUCAACAAUUGUGUUGUGAGACCUUUUCGAGAUAAUUUUAUUAUCAAAUGUUUGUUAUUUGAAAAAUGGAGCAUAAUAAUCUUAAGAUAAAUUUCUGACUUGAUAUUCAUGAUUAGCAAAUAAAAUUAUCAAUAUUAUAUUAAUUGAAAGAUAGGUUUUGAGUGAUCAUAUUAAUCUAAUUUUUGUCUUUAUUAUAUGAAUUAUAUAAAUUAUGUAAUGGUCAUCAAAAUAAGAUGAAUGCAUGCUACAUUUGAUAAAAUCAGUUAUAGAUUUCAUUCUUGUAAAUAUCAUUUUAUCAUCUGGUUAUCAUUAACUCCAUGAUGAAAUCAGUGAGUAACAUCAAAUAUUUUAAUUUUGGAUGUAACAUGUCUUCUGAUUGGCUGACAUUGUUUUGUUUAUCAAAUCAUAGACAUAAUUUUGUCAUGUGACUGUGACGUCAUCAGCGUUUUUUUACAUGGUUUACUCUGGUUUAAAAUGGAAUUUAAAUUUAAAUUAUAAGAAAUAACUGUAAUAUUUUUUUCUGUCUAUUUGAAAUAACAUAAAAAAUGUGGUGCACACUUUAAAUAACUAUGCGAGUUAUUCAGUGAGCACCACAUUUUGAUGUUAUUUCUUCAUAAACAGAAAAAAAUGUUACAGUCAUUCCUUAAAGAGAAAGCAGAUACAGUUUCACUACAAGAUAAUCUUUGGCUACACCUUUUUAUACCCUUUGGUUUAUAGCGCUUCAUCUUUUAAAUAAACUUUCGAUUUUCUAAUAUUUUAGCCUUUGAGCACCACUGAAGGGACACUAAUUGUCGAAAAAUAUCCAUCUGGUGCAGAAAAAUUGAUACUGAUCAUGUUAUAAUGAUUAAAAAAGUUGUUAUUAUGAUAGUAUGCGAGUUGAAAAGAGUUUCUUAAUUGUAGAAAGAUAAAGAGUACUGUUAGCAUUAACUAUAUAUAAAAAGUAGUUUUAUUGAAAAAUUAUUUAAAAGUUGAGUCAAUUACAGGCAGUUUUCCAAUUUCGAUUUUAUAAACUACCUGCCCCAGUUGACUCAGGAUCAAAAAGGGGGUGGGAAAAACCAUGUCAUUGAACAUUUUGUAGUAAAGAUAGAUUCUUUACAACAUCAAAUUUUCUGGGAAUAGGCACCAGUUAGAAGAUCAUGUAUUUGCAAGUUCAUCCUAAAAAUCUACUUUUAUUGACUUUAUAUGUAUAAAUAAAUUUGUAAAUUAUAUAUACCUAAACCAUUGUAAACUGUGAUGUUUCAUUCUAAAGUGCUUUCUAUAGAUAUAGUUAAACAUAUGAGGUGUUGAAUUAUAUAAUCUUUAUGAGAGCUUAAAUCCUUUAUUGUUCAACUUAGUUAACAUGCUUGUGCCAUAAAUUAUGAUCUGAAAUUAUUCUUGAUUUUAGUAAAAAAUGAUGUUGAAAGUUUUCUGCAAAUUUUUAUCAAUAUAUGAUGUACAUAAUUCAUUCCAUGGUGCUCAAUACACUGUACACAAUGCUUGUGUGACUGUUCAUACACUACUAACAUGUUAAACAUGCUUUGAUUUUCUUUUUGUGCUGAAAUAUGUAAGAAGUCAGUAAAAGAUAUAAUCAGAUUUGGAAUAUUUUAGAAAUUGUUUUUUUUAUGAUAUUAAGUUUGAAGGGCAUUAAUGCUUUCAUACACUAUUUAAAGUCAUAGAUUUGAAAGAAUACCUUUACUAUAGAACAAAAGGUGUUGGGAUAAAGAUUGCAUGAUAUCUAAAUCUUCCAAGGUUUAUCACUACCUUACAUAGUUUCAAACGACAUAGUGCUAUGGAGUUAUCAUUCUUUAGAUUUUUACCCCCUAAAUGUUAAGCAAUUUAUCAAUGAUAUAUUAUACUUCGAUGUUCAAGUAAAAAUAUGAUGUGUAUUUAAAUAACUGAACUCUGAAGUAUGAAAUUGUGACAAAAAUAGGUUCAACUACAAAUGUACUCCCAUGAAUAAAGAAAUAUAACUUAACUCAAAUUUAUAAUUUACAUAGCUAAAAUUUAUAGUAUUCAAUGUUUUACUUUAAAUUCACAAAAUUGUAAAAUAAAAGCAAUCUUUUGGUUGCCCAGAAGUGCUUAAAUUUUCGUCUACUUUCACACAGUAACCAGCAAACAAUGAUAAUUGUUAAGGAUGUUUCAUUGCCAUUCAGGAAAAAAAAUCAUUAACAAUUGUAAUGAUUCUAUGGUUGUUUCUUUUUUUAAGAUUCAUUAUCACAUUAAUUCAAUCUAACAGAAAUGAAUACCACUAACAUCUCAUAUUCAUUUGUUUAUUUUUUUAUGUCAAGAGUGAAAAUUAGGAGCCAGGGAAGAGAGUAAUUUAAAAUAAUUUCAUAACAUGUAUAUUUCAUAUUUCAUUAUGAUAAGAUAUUAUGAUGUUCUAACAGGAUUCUCGUGUAAUUCUGAAAUCAACAUUCAUUGCAAAAUGAAUUGUAAAAUUCAUGGUGACAUGUUUUUCCACAUUAAAGUGCACAGGUUAAUGAAAGAAAAACUUGAUAGAAAUCUUGUUUUCAUGAUCCUACCAAAAAAUGUUAUUAUAAGUAUUGAAUGCUUCUUUUAAUAAUUUUAAAGGGUGGUAAAAGUUUUGACCAUGCAUACAUUUUUAGAACUGAAGUGCUUCAUACAAAAUUUACUUCUGUCAAAAAGAAGCAUUCAAUUCAAUUAAACUGACCCUUAUUUAGCCAGCAGAUAUACUAUUUCUUGUUAUAUUAUAUAUGUGUUUGUUGCAAUAGUGCUAUUGAUGCAAGUUUAUAUGAUUUGUAUUGGUUUUCUGUGGUUUAAAAUGAUA
rnacentral:lncRNA from 1 species